rnacentral:tRNA from 1 species
GGGCAGAUAGCUCAGUUGGUAGAGCACCGCACUGAAAAUGCGGGUGUCGGCGGUUCAAAUCCGCCUCUGCCCAC